CCUGGCUCAGGAUGAACGCUAGCUACAGGCUUAACACAUGCAAGUCGAGGGGCAGCAUGGUCUUAGCUUGCUAAGGCCGAUGGCGACCGGCGCACGGGUGAGUAACACGUAUCCAACCUGCCGUCUACUCUUGGACAGCCUUCUGAAAGGAAGAUUAAUACAAGAUGGCAUCAUGAGUCCGCAUGUUCACAUGAUUAAAGGUAUUCCGGUAGACGAUGGGGAUGCGUUCCAUUAGAUAGUAGGCGGGGUAACGGCCCACCUAGUCUUCGAUGGAUAGGGGUUCUGAGAGGAAGGUCCCCCACAUUGGAACUGAGACACGGUCCAAACUCCUACGGGAGGCAGCAGUGAGGAAUAUUGGUCAAUGGGCGAGAGCCUGAACCAGCCAAGUAGCGUGAAGGAUGACUGCCCUAUGGGUUGUAAACUUCUUUUAUAAAGGAAUAAAGUCGGGUAUGGAUACCCGUUUGCAUGUACUUUAUGAAUAAGGAUCGGCUAACUCCGUGCCAGCAGCCGCGGUAAUACGGAGGAUCCGAGCGUUAUCCGGAUUUAUUGGGUUUAAAGGGAGCGUAGAUGGAUGUUUAAGUCAGUUGUGAAAGUUUGCGGCUCAACCGUAAAAUUGCAGUUGAUACUGGAUAUCUUGAGUGCAGUUGAGGCAGGCGGAAUUCGUGGUGUAGCGGUGAAAUGCUUAGAUAUCACGAAGAACUCCGAUUGCGAAGGCAGCCUGCUAAGCUGCAACUGACAUUGAGGCUCGAAAGUGUGGGUAUCAAACAGGAUUAGAUACCCUGGUAGUCCACACGUAAACGAUGAAUACUCGCUGUUUGCGAUAUACUGCAAGCGGCCAAGCGAAAGCGUUAAGUAUUCCACCUGGGGAGUACGCCGGCAACGGUGAAACUCAAAGGAAUUGACGGGGGCCCGCACAAGCGGAGGAACAUGUGGUUUAAUUCGAUGAUACGCGAGGAACCUUACCCGGGCUUAAAUUGCAGAUGAAUUACGGUGAAAGCCGUAAGCCGCAAGGCAUCUGUGAAGGUGCUGCAUGGUUGUCGUCAGCUCGUGCCGUGAGGUGUCGGCUUAAGUGCCAUAACGAGCGCAACCCUUGUUGUCAGUUACUAACAGGUUCCGCUGAGGACUCUGACAAGACUGCCAUCGUAAGAUGUGAGGAAGGUGGGGAUGACGUCAAAUCAGCACGGCCCUUACGUCCGGGGCUACACACGUGUUACAAUGGGGGGUACAGAGGGCCGCUACCACGCGAGUGGAUGCCAAUCCCCAAAACCUCUCUCAGUUCGGACUGGAGUCUGCAACCCGACUCCACGAAGCUGGAUUCGCUAGUAAUCGCGCAUCAGCCACGGCGCGGUGAAUACGUUCCCGGGCCUUGUACACACCGCC
rnacentral:rRNA from 1 species